UAAGAUCAAGUGUAGUAUCUGUUCUUAUCAGUUUAAUAUCUGAUACGUGGGCCAUUGGUCCACAUGAUAUUAAAUUAAUUUUUUAAGGGGGAGAGCCCAUGCCGGUAGCUUGCUGCUGGGGUUCUCGCGCGUCGCCCAAGCGUUGCACUGCAGCUUAGGCCUGGCGCACCCACCAAUGCCAGUUUAGGAAAAUGUUGGAAAUGAGGUAUGGUAUUUAUCUGAAUUAGAAUUCCGAAUAACCAAAGUAACCUUUUAAAAUGUUCUUAUGUUAUCUCGAUGAUAUUCUGAAUUACAUAUUGCAAUGAAAAAGGGUUUUUUAAUUUACUAAACCCUAUAACGGUUUAAUGAUCUUUUAAAUAUAAGAUUGCUUAUGACCAUAAUCUUCCUUUUUUGAGUUAAAAUUUUAGAUGAAGUAAAGAUUAUAAUAUUCAAAAGCCAUAAGCCUGAAGACCCCAAAUUAAAGCAAUUCCCUUAAAUUUAGUUUGAGUAACAAUUAAAAUAGGAGGUUUAUAGACCCAUCAACAUAAGUUUUCUCCCUUUUUAAUUUUCACACCAUAUUUUCUGAAGAAAUGCACUGGCUCAGAAACCUUUUUAAUCAUUUAAAAAAAAAGAAAGAGAGAUCAAUUAAUAAUGAUUUGGAAACUGAUAAUUGUUUCCUUCGAAUUUCACUAGACUGUUUGGACCGUGUAGAAAGGAAGGGAAGCUACAACUCUCUGUUUGAAAAUUCCUUAAUCCCACUUUAGACAAAUAAAAGUAAGGAGCAGGAAACAGAGGAAGCAGAGACUAUAAGUACAGGGCAGGUGGCAACGAUGCAACAUACUUACCUGGACGGGGUCGAUGGGUGAUCAAAAAGGCCCAUGGCUUAGGUAAGCGGCCUCCAUUGCACUUAGGAGGGGCGCUUGCUUAUGGUCUCCCCAGGUGGGAGAGCCAACGUCAUAAUUUGUGGUAGUGGGGGCCUGCGUUCGCGCGGCCCCUAUCCAAUUCUAGUGCCUAACGUUUCAGAUUUCUGGGUCAGGAAGGUUUAAGGCUUGUAUAUCUUAAGUUCACAACUGUUUUCCUGAUGAAGCACUUGAUAAAGUUAAUUGAAUUUCGUUUGCUUUUCACAUAGCCAUUCUGCUACUUCUUAAAGCUUGUUUCCUAUAUGCAAAACAUCACCUGAAAUCUCUGUCUUCUUUCUUUGUUCCACAGGGUUGAGAAAAGAACAUGUUCAAGUUUCCGAGUAGUUCAAUAGAUUACCUGUUUCUCUCAAUAUUUAGCCUUGUUUUGCACCAAAGAAAGUUCGUUUACAUCCUCAUUGUUGCAUGACUACUCUCAUGGUUGAGAAGGGAGUUUUCAUGAUGAAUCAUAGAUACUAAACCCAGAUGCAAACUCCUAAUCCACAAUUUCAACAUUUCUUUAGUUGUGCUUUCGCAACAAGUCAACAAGUGCCCAGAAAAAACUGUCUUCAUUGUUUGUACCGCCGGGUUAAGCCUACCAAAGCAAUGAUUCAAAAAAGAACAUAUUCCAAGUUUCUAGGUAGUUCAAAAAUGGAAUUCAAAUCUUCAAAACUCUGUUUUGCAUUAAAAAAUAUUGUUAUCACACUACGAUAAUAUACUAAAUAAAAAUGAUAAACGCAUUUUAUCCAGUAUUAAAAACGUAUCAUAUAAUAUGUGAUAUGUAUUUUAUAAUAUGAAAAUGUAUAGUACGAUACAAUCAAUACAUUUUUCAUAAACUUAAUUUUAACUAAUUAUUAAAAAUUUUAGAAUUAAAUACACUAAUAUCUUUAAGUUUUAAUUAUAAUUUUAUACAGAUCUAUUAAUUUUCGAAAUGUACUGUUUGCCUUAAAAGAAUAUCUUCUAUUAGAUAUAUACGUCUAACUACUAGUCCAUCGUGAAUAUUUUCAUUAAUUUGAUGAUGUAAUAAUAUUGAAAAGAUAAAUUUAUUUUUUAUUAAUUUUAAAAUUUAUCAAAUUAUAAUUUAAAAAAAAACCUCUACUCUCGCCAACCGACUACCCCGUGGCCAGAUCUGAUUAGAGAGCACUAGAUCUAGCUAGAUCACACACUAGGAGCACUAGAUCGAUAUUCUCUACAUUUGAUGCUCAUUUGAGGAGAUUCAACUGAAUCUGACAUUUCAUGAUCAGAUUUGAUCAUAGGCUGACUAGUCAAGUAAACGAAAGCCGUUAGUUGACCUAAAAAAAGGAAAAGAGUAACAAAAAAAACGUUUUAAACAUUUCACGUUUAAGUAUUAAUAUUGUUUACAUAUUUGAGGUAAAAUGUUCAAUUUGAAAACUAUUAAACCUAUGUAUAAUUAUAGUUAAAAGUUGAAACGUCAAUAUAUUUUAUUCAAAAUUUUAUUUUUUAUUAUUUUUUAAAUUGAAACAUUAAAAACUAUUUUUCAAGAGUUUCAAUCUUUAGAUUUAAACAAAUAUUAAAAAAUUUGAAUUCAUUUUUUAUUUCAAUGUGUUUUUUAAUUUUUAAUUAAUAAAUUAAUAUAAGAAUGUAUAUUUUGUUUAAAAAUAUAUAUUAUUAAGAAAUAUAUUGAGAGUUUAAAUUAAAAAAUAAUAAUCUUUUCAAUCUAUAUCCUAUAAUCUUCAAUUGUUAAAAAUAUAAUAUUUUUAAAAUUUUUUCUUUAUUUUACAUAUAUAUUAUUUAUAAUUAAUUUUAAAUUUUUUUACUAAUACUUAAUAAACUAAAAUAAGUUUUGAUAUACAUACAUAUUUCGAUUUAACAACUAUGUUCAAAAAAUUCCACAUUGAAACUAUUAGUGACAAGAGCUGAGAAGUUGUCUUUAAAAGAAACGAGUCUCGAAGGAAAGAAGCAUACCUUUCUCGGCCUUUUGGCUAAGAUCAAGUGUAGUAUCUGUUCUUAUCAGUUUAAUAUCUGAUACGUGGGCCAUCGGUCCACAUGAUAUUAAAUUAAUUUUUUUAGGGGGAGAGCUCACUCACAAUAGCUUGCUAUUGGGGCUCUUGCGCGUCGCCCAAGCGUUGCACUUGCUGCUCGGGCCUGGCGCACCCCACCCAAUUCCACUCCAAAUAUUUAGUGAACUUAGAAAUUUUUAAAGAAUUGUAUUAUUUUGAUUAAUUGUUAGAUAAAUUUAAGAUUAAUUUUUAAAGAUUAUCUUAGUUAUAUUAUGAAUCAUGAAUUAGAACAAAAAUGGGUAUGUGAGGUCAUUAAAUUUUUUAAUGGUUUAAUGAGUUAAGAAGCCUAUAAAUUUUUAACCUGGCUUUGCUUAUGACUAUAGUACAACUUAUUUUCAUUUCCUUUUUUUGAGUUAAAAUUUAAGAUGAAUCUAAGAUUAUAAUAAUCAAAAGCCACAAGCCUUAAGGCACAAACUUAAUUAAUUUUAGUUAGUUUGAGUUGAACUAAAAUAGGAGGUUUGUAAACCCAUCAGCAUAGGUUUUCUCCCCUUUUAAUUUGCAAGGUUAAAAGGAAAGUACCCUUGAUCCAUAUUUUUGAAUAAAAUUCAAAUUGCUCAGAAACCUUUUUAAUCAAUUUUAAAAAAAAUGAAAAAAGACCAAUUAAUAAUGAUUUGGAAACUGAUCAUUGUUUCCUUCGAAUUUCACAAGUCUGUAUGAACCAGAGAAAGGAAGGGAAGCUAGCCUAUUCUCGGUUUGGAAAUUCAUUCAUCCCAUAUUGAACAAGUAGAAGUAAGUGGCAGGGAACAGAGGAAGCAGAGACUAUAAAUACAGGGCAGGUGGCAACGAUCAAACAUACUUACCUGGACGGGGUCGAUGGGUGAUCAGAAAGGCUCAUGGCCUAAGCAAGCGGCCUCCAUUGCACUGAGGAGGGGCGCUUGCCUAAGGUCUCCCCUAGUGGGAGAGCCUACGUCAUAAUUUGUGGUAGUGGGGGCCUGCGUACGCGCGGCCCCUGUCCAAUUCUAGUAACUAACGUUUGAAGAUCUAGGUUAUGUAGGGAUCAGGGCUUAAGGCCUUUGCUGGGCUCACCAAAAGUCCUGUUAGCUUAUUUUCUUAGUGGAGUCCCCACAUCGACUGAAGCAUGCGUACAACAAAGGGAGGGUAGAUUAAGGCCUGCAUAUGCCAAGUUCCCAACUGUUUUCUUGAUGAAGCACUUAUUAAAGUUAAUUGAAUUUCAGUAAAUUGCGAACAAUUUGGAUGAACUUGGGUUUGCUUUCAACAUUGCCAUCCUGCCACUUCUUCAUUCUUGUUUCCUAUAGGCAAAGCACCAGAAUUCUCCUAAACCCGAAGCCUAUGUCUUCUUUCUUUGUUCCACAGGGUUGAGAAAAGAACAUGUUUAAGUUUCUGAGUAGUUCAACAGAUUACCUGUUUCUCUCAAUCUUUAGCCCUGUUUUGCACCAAAGAAAGUUCGUUUACAUCCUCAUCGUUCAAUGACUACUCUCAUGAUUGAGAAGGGAGUUUUCAUGAUGAACCAUAGAUACUAACCCCAGUUGCAAACUAUGGCACCUAAUCCACAAUUUCAACGUUUCUUUGGUUGUGCUUUCUCGACAAGUCAACUAGUGACCCAGAAAAAACUGUCUUCGUUGUUUGUUCCGCUGGGGUAAGCCGAGUAAAAUAAUAUGAUUCAGAAAAGAACGUGUUCCAAGUUUCUAAGUAGUUCAUAGAUUACCUAUUGCUCUCCACCUAGGAAUUCGAAUCCCCUAACUAACUCUGUUUUACACCCAAAAACCAUAUUUAUCAAUAUCAUAUGUGUAUGGAUACAAUAAAAAAUUAUAUGUAUUUAUAGUUAUUUCGUAUUUGAUUAAAUAUUGAAAAUAUAUCGUGUGAUAUAUAAUAUGUAUUUUAUAAUAUAUAAAAUAUCAUAUGAUAUAAUCGAUAUAUUUUUUAUAAAUUUAAUUCUAAUUAAUUACUAAAAAUUUAUUUUUUUGUUUUUUUAAAUUGACACAUUAAAAAUUAUUUUUCAUGAAUUUCAAUUUUAAAUAAAAAAUAUUCAAAAAAUUGAAUUCGCUUUUGAUUUCAACAUGAUAAGUUUUUUUAAUUUUUAAUUAAUAAAUGAAAAUGAAAAAUAUAUAUUUUAUUUAAAAAUAUAUAUUAUUAAGGAAUAUGUUGAGAGUUUAAAUUUAAAAAAAAUCUCAUUUUCAAUUUAUACUUUAUAAUGUUUAAUUUUUUAAAAAUAUAAUAAUUUUAAAGGUAAAAUAUAUUAACACAAAUGAAUAUUUCAUUUUAAAUGUGUAAACAACGUUAAUACCUAAAUAUAAAAAAUUUAAAAUACUUUUUUUCACCUUUUCCUUUCUCUUAGGCCGAUUAGACUGACCGACCACCCAUUGCCCUGGGCUCCCAUGGGGCACACCCUCCCCUGCAAAUCACCAAAUCGAAGCAAGGAGCUCCAAAUUGGGCUCCCCAAGGCAACACCAGAUCUGGUGCUCAAUUGGGGAGUGUCGUCGACCCCGGUAGCCAAAAAGAAUCUUUUUUGAAAUAAAGAAAAAAUUUUAAAAUAAAAAAUUAUAAUUUAUAUAAUAAUAAUUUUUAAAAUUAAUAAAAAAUAAAAUUAUUUUAAAAAUAUUAUCGCAUCAUCAAAUUAACAUAAACAUUAACAAUUGACUAAUAACAAAACUUAUAUGUUUAACAAAAAAAGUUUUUUAAACAGAAUAUUUACGUUGAAAACUAGUAAACUUAUAUAUAAUUAUAAUUAAAAAUUUAGAGUAUUAGUGUAUUUUAUAUUAUUUUUAAUUUUUUUUAUUUUAUAUGUAUAAAUAUUAUUUAUAAUUAUUUUUAAAAUUUUUUACUAUAUUUUACGAUAUGAUAUUUGAUAUUAUAAAAAUAAAAUUUUAAUACACUAUAUGUAUUUUAAUUUAAGAAUUAUAUAAAAAAAAAAUAUGUUCUCUCUUUUGUUCAAAAUCCCACAUUAAAACUAUACGAGACAAGUGGUGAGAAGCUGCCUUUAAAAGAAACGACCCCUGGAUGGCAAAAGCAUACCUUUCUCGGCCUUUUGGCUAAGAUCAAGUGUAGUAUCUGUUCUUAUCAGUUUAAUAUCUGAUACGUGGGCCAUUGGUCCACACGAUAUUAAAUUAAUUUUUUUAGGGGGAGAACCCAUCUACAGUAGCUUGCUACUGGGGAUCUCGUGUGUCGCCCUAGCGUUGCACUACAGCUUGGGCCUGGCUAACCCCAACCAAUGCCAGUCUAAAUAUCUUUUUGAAUUUAGCCAGUCUAAAUAUCUUAUUGAAGAUAGCAGUAUCCCCAAAUACCAGUCAUGACAGCUCGGGCCUGGCACGACCCACCCAAUACGAGUUUUAACAUGUGUUCAAAUAUUUGAGGUAAUAUAUAUAUUAUUUGCUUGAUUUUUUAUUUAAUAAAAGGUUCAUUUUAAGGUCAAAAUUAGUUUAAAUUUUUUAUGAAACUUAUGUUUGAGUAUUUUUCCAAUUUAGAAGUACAGAUAAAAUUAUGUUAAUUCAAAAAUGGGUUGCAAAUUUAUUGGAUCUUUUAGUGCAGUAAAUAUAUGGUCUGUUCCUUUUUGAGUUAAAAUUUUAGUGUGAAGCUAGAAUUAUUGCAAGCAAAAGCCACAAGCCUGGAAUCUGCAUUAAACUUGAAUUGUUCUAGCUACAAAUCCCAAUUAACAAAGUGUAGCCCUUUAUCCCACGAAUUAAAGUAAAUCACUUAAUUUAAGCUUGAAUUUGAAUUAAAAAUAGGAGGUUUAUAGACCCAUCAACAGAGUUUUUUUUUUAUCUUUUUUUAAUUUGCAAGGUUAAAAGGAGAGUGCCCUUACUCUAUAUUUCUGAAUAAAAAUUUAAUUGUCAGACACUUUUUGAUGAAUUUAAAAAAAAAGAAGAAGAUGAAAGACCAAUUAAUAAUGAUUUGGAAACUGAUCAUUGUUUCCUUCGAAUUUCACAAGUCUGUUUGGAUGAGAGAAAGGAAGGGAAGCUAACUUUGGAAAUUCGUUUGUCCCACCUUACACAAGCAAAAGUAGGGAGUAGGGUGCAGAGGAAGCAGAGACUAUAAAUACAGGGCAGGUGGCACCGGUAAAACAUACUUACCUGGACGGGGUCGAUGGGUGAUCAUAAAGACCCAUGGCCUAGGUAAGCGGCCUCCAUUGCACUUAGGAGGGGCGCUUGCCUAAGGUCUCCCCAAGCGGGAGAGCCUACGUCGUAAUUUGUGGUAGUGGGGGCCUGCGUUCGCGCGGCCCCUGUCCAAUUCUAGUAACUAAAGUUUUAGGUUUCGGUAAUGUGGGGACCAUGGAUUAAGGCCGUCGCGGGGCUCAACCAAAGUCGUGUUUGUUUAUUUUCUUAGAAGUCUCUAAAUCGACUGAAGCAUGCAUGUAACAAAGAAAGGAGAGGCCUGCAUAAGCCAAGUUCCCAACUGUUUUCUUGAUGAAGCACUUAUUAAAGUUAAUUGAAUUUCUGCAGAUUAUGAACAGUUUUGAUGAACUUGGGUUUGCUUUCCACAUUGCCAUUCUGCCACUUCUUAAAAUUUGUUUCCUAUAUUCAAAACGCCAGAAUUCUCCUAAACUUGAAAUCUCUGUCUUCUUUCUUUGUUCCACAGGGUUGAGAAAAGAACACGUUCAAGAGUAGUUCAAUAGAUUACCUGUUUCUCUCAAUCUUUAGCCCUGUUUUGCGCCAAAGAAAGUUCGUUUACAUCCUCAUUGUUGCAUGACUACUCUAAUGAUUGAAAAGGGAGUUUUCAUGAUGAACCAUAGAUACUAACCCCAGUCGCAAACUAUGGCACGUAAUCCACAAUUUCAACAUUUCUUUGGGUGUGCUUUCACAGCAAGUCAGUAAGUGGCCCAGAAAAAACUCUAUGUCUUCAUUGUUUCUUCCACCGGGUUAAGCCUACCAUAACAAUGAUUAAGAAAAAAAACAUGUUCCAAGUUUCUAAGUAGUUUAUAGAUUACUUGUUCCUCCCCACCUAUUUUAAAAAUAGAAUUCGAAUCCUCUAAUUCAAUUCUGCAUCAAAAAAUAUAUUUAUUAAUAUCAUACAAUACGUAAUACGUAUAGUAUUUGAUUUGUAUUUAUAAUUAUAUCGCAUUUGAUUAAAUAUCAAAAUCAUAUCAUAUGGUACGUGAUAUGUAUUUUAUAAUACAAAAAGUAUCAUACGAUAUAGUUGAUACGUUUUUUUACAAAUUUAAAUCUAAUUAAUUAUGAAAAUUUGUUUUUUUUUAUUUUUUAAAUUGAAACAUUAAAACUAUUUUAAAUUAGUUUUAAUCUUUAGAUUUUAAAUAAAAAUAAUAAAAAAUUGAAUUAUUUUUUAUUCCAACAUGAUAAGUGUUUUUAAAUUUUUAAUUAAUAAAUUAAUAUAAAAAUGUAUAUUUUUUUAAAUAUAUAUUAUUAAGAAAUAUGUUGGCAGUUUAAAUUAAAAAAUAAUCCUCUUUUCAAUUUAUAUUUUAUAAUCUACCAUUAUUAAAAGUAAAAUACACUAACAUCUUUAACUUUUAAUUAUAAUUAUACACAGAUUCACUAGUUUUCAAAGUAAACAUUCUGUUCCAAAUGUGUAAAUGACGUUAAUGCCUAAACAUGAAAUGUCUAAAAUAUAUAUUUUCUUUUUUUUUUUCACAUUUUCUUUUCUCUCCAGUUGGCUAGUGACCUUUUUUUACACCGAUCGACCACAUCUACCUGAGCUCCCUUAAAGAGCACUAAAUCGGAGCAAGGAGCCCCAAAUUGGCUCCCCACAAAAGCACUAGAUCUACUGCUCCCCUAGGAGUGCCAUUGGUCACGAGUGGUCUGAAAGAUUUUUUUUUAAAUGAGAAAAUAUUUAAAAAUAAAAAAUUAUAAUUUAUAUAAUGUUAAUGUUUCAAAUUAAUAAAAGAUAAAAUUAUCUUAAAAAUAUUAUUAUGUCAUUAAAUCAAUAGAAACAUUGAUAAUUGACUAACGAUAAGACUUAUAUAUUUAGAAAAAUAGUUUUUUUGACAAAAUUUCACUUUAAAAAUUAAUAUAUCUACGUGUAAUUAUUAUUAAAAUUAAAAGUGUUAGUAUAUUUUAUUUUAUUUUACAUGUAUAAAUAUUAUUUAUAAUUAAUUUUAAAAUUUUUACUAUAUCUUAUAAUAUGAUACUCGAUACUAAAAAAUAAGAUAUCAAUACACGAUACAUAUCUUAAUUUAACAAUUAUGUCCAAAAAAUAACCCAUUUGAUAAUAAUUCUCUUUCGUUCGAAAUCCCACAUUGAAACUAUACGUGACAAGGGGCAAGAAGCUGCCUUUAAAAGAGGCGAGUCUCAUAAAAAGCAAAGCAUACCUUUCUCGGCCUUUUGGCUAAGAUCAAGUGUAGUAUCUGUUCUUAUCAGUUUAAUAUCUGAUACGUGGGCCAUUGGUCCACAUGAUAUUAAAUUAAUUUUUUUAGGGGAAGAGCCCACAACGGUAGCUUGCUACUGGGGAUCUGAGGUGUCGCCCAUGCGUUGCACUAUAGCUUGGGCCUGGCGCACCCCACCCAAUACGAGUCUAAGUAUGUUUUUAAGGGUUGCGUUACAGCGCGAGCAUGGCGCGCUUCUUACGAUAUGUUUUGAAGUGUUGGAGGUUUAAUAUUUA
rnacentral:lncRNA from 1 species